UUCAAAACACUUGGAUUUAGUAGUUUUUUUUUUUUUUUUUGAAUAAAACGAAAAUGAUAUUAACGAAAAUUACAUCAUCUAUCCAAGUCCUAUUCCCUUAGCUAAAUUAACCCUGUAGUUAUUGAACAAGAAGCUGUUAUCAUCUUCACAAUCAGAUUCAACAACUAUGUUCUGAAAUCCCAAUUGAUACGCGAAAUCCAAACCAAGCUAUAUAGCUUCUAUCAUCGGUGCCUCUUUGCUUCUCCGUUCAACCCACGUUGCUGCUGCCAUCACAUCACCGUCGGAAUCCCGGAUGACCACGCCUAGCCCCCAACGCCCUUCAACACUCAGGCUAUUACGAUCAUAACCAACGUUACAGGCAAC
rnacentral:lncRNA from 1 species